rnacentral:rRNA from 1 species
AGCAGCCGCGGUAAUUCCAGCUCCAAUAGCGUAUAUUAAAGUUGUUGCAGUUAAAAAGCUCGUAGUUGAAUUUCGAGGUCAGCGGGUUGGUCGUGCCUACGGUAUGUACUGACUCUACUGAUUCCUCCUUCUUGAAGAACUGUAAUGUCAUUAAUUUGGUGUCGCAGGGAAACAGGACUGUUACUUUGAAAAAAUUAGAGUGUUUAAAGCAGCCAAUCGCUUGAAUACAUUAGCAUGGAGUAAUGAAAUAGGACGAUCGAUCCUAUUUUGUUGGUUUCUAGGGUUGACGUAAUGAUUAAUAGGGAUAGUUGGGGGCAUUAGUAUUCAAUUGUCAGAGGUGAAAUUCUUGGAUUUAUUGAAGACUAACUACUGCGAAAGCAUUUGCCAAGGAUGUUUUCAUUAAUCAAGAACGAAAGUUAGGGGAUCGAAGACGAUCGGAUACCGUCGUAGUCUUAACCAUAAACUAUGCCGACUAGGGAUCGGAUGAUGUUAAUUUUUAAUGACUCAUUCGGCGCCUUAC